rnacentral:rRNA from 1 species
CACGUAGGGGGCAAGCGUUGUCCGGAAUCAUUGGGCGUAAAGCGCGUGUAGGCGGCUCGGUAAGUCUGCUGUUAAAGUCCAGGGCUCAACCCUGGGAUGCCGGUGGAUACUGUCGAGCUCGAGUCCGGAAGAGGAGUGUGGAAUUCCUGGUGUAGCGGUGAAAUGCGCAGAUAUCAGGAGGAACACCAAUGGCGAAGGCGGCUCUCUGGAACGCAACUGACGCUGAGACGCGAAAGCGUGGGGAGCAAACAGG